UACGAAGGAGGCUAGCGUUGUUCGGAAUCACUGGGCGUAAAGCGCACACAGGCGGAUCGAUAAGUCGGGGGUGAAAGCACGGGGCUCAACCUCGGAAUUGCCUUCGAUACUGUCGGUCUCGAGUCCGGGAGAGGUGAGUGGAAGUCCUAGUGUAGAGGUGAAAUUCGUAGAUAUUAGGAAGAACACCAGUGGCGAAGGCGGCUCAUGGGCCCGGUACUGACGCUCAGGUGCGAAAGCGUGGGGAGCAAACAGG
rnacentral:rRNA from 1 species